rnacentral:lncRNA from 1 species
AUGAUGCCUUCGAGGUCCGUGCAUGUUGUCCCAAAUGUCCAUAGCAAGCUGGCAGUCUUGGAAAGUAGGUGUGGUCUGCAGAGCUGGCCUCCUUGGCUAGACUCCUGGAUGGAGUCCAAGAACAGCCAGAGGACAUCUAAAUUUGGGGUAAAUCUGAAGCUGUGGUCGCCAAUCCUUGUUUCAGUACUAAUGCUGACCUUCGGAUACCCGUUCGGAGCUCAGAGGGGAGAGGGAUGAAAUUAGCACUGAAGUCUCAUCCUUGCAGGUGCAAUAGAAAAGAUGUUUGCCGCGAGUAGGAAGACGGGGCCUGUGGUCCCUUUCAGCCUCGUGAUAAUAGGGCUCUGUAACGACUGUUCAAUUCCAUCCCCUUCUCUCACUCAAGAAAACGUGGCGGCGGGCAAGUCCCUUUAUGGCCUUUGGCAAGAGGGUGACCCCAAUUGGUCUCGAGAAGAAGGGGUUUCAGAUUUGCCUCCUCUUCUGGUUCAGAUGUUCAGACAAAAUGGCUUUUCUUAGAGCAGGAAAACUGCAAGAGGAAAACAAACGGAUGGAAAGAAAUGAGAUUCUGUUUUUCAGUUUUUAUGUGUGAGAGAAACUAUGCUUUUGCUUCAGGAAGAGGUCUUCGCUUUAAACGAAAUGAAGGAAGGAUACUUGUGAAAAACACUUCACACGCACUUCUUGUUCUGCUUCUUUGAAGGUCACAAUUGCAGAUAUUUUGAUAAAGACAUCCUCUUUAAUGCCUGUGGUCUUUUCACUUGAUGGGGGAGAUACAGCUGUUUAGUCACAGAGCUGCCACCUUACCUUGAAAGAUGGUAGAAGGUAGGAGGUGGGGGAGACAGAAGAAAAGCUUUGUUCGUUUUCCCCAAGGUCGUCUCAUUGUUUUCUAACUGUAUAAGCAUAGCUAUGAUCCCUAUUCCCACGUUCCCGGUUCGGAAUCAUCCCCUUGGUUUCUGAAUGUGUGUUUGGAAUGUGAGAGUGGACUCUCGUUAUUUGGAAUUCUCAAACUAGAAAAAGAAUUUGAAAGGCAUCCUGCGUUGAGGUAAGACCACAGAUAAACCAUCGACUAAAUCCGCAAUCCAUCGUUGCAUUUGUAGCUGAAUCAAGAGGUGGUCAGGUUUUCUUGGGAUCUUUAUCACCAAAGAUAUUUUUAUAUAAGAUACUAAAGACUGUGUAUAUAGUCAGAACACGAAACCCUCGAGCUUAGAAAUAAACUACCUUCUGAGAUAAAAUUUAACAGCGAAUGUAAGCCCUCCCCAUGGAAGGAAAAUCAGAAAUUAUUGCCACAGAGUUCCCGUCGUGGCUCAGUGGUUAACGCAUCCGACUAGGAACCAUGAGGUUGCAGGUUCGAUCCCUGGCCUCGCUCAGUGGGUUAAGGAUCUGGCGUUGCUGUGAGCUGUGGUGUAGGUCUCAGAUGUGGCUCGGAUCCUGCGUUGCUGUGGCUCUGGUAUAGGCCAGUGGCUACAGUUCCGAUUAGACCCCUAGCCUGGGAACCUCCAUAUGCUGUGGGUGCGGCGCUAAAAAGACAAAAAAAAAAAAAAAAAAAAAAAAAAAAAAAGAUCAUUGCCAUGUAUGUCUGGGAAAGUCUGGGAACAUGUGUCUAUUGAAGGUAACGUGUAUGUAAGAAGUGGGCAGAGCUGGGAUUUGAAUGUCAUUUUUAAAAACUUAAAUCUGAUAAAUUGUUGAUUGCCUAUUGAAAGAAUGGGCUAAUGGAAGAAAGAUUGUUUGAAGAAAUUUCUGAAAAGAGCCCAAAGAGCCAGCUUGGCUUGUCCGAGGGGAGGGUGCCCCUCUGCCCAGCACGUGCCCUCCUUUGUAGAUGAGGGUAAACAGGUAUUGUAGGAAUCGCCAAUGAUUGGCUUUACCUCAUCUUCCUAGGUGUCUCUGUUCUAGAUUCUCCUUUAGUUUCCUGUCCCUUUAAAGGAAAUCAGAAAUAGAGUCGCAGAAGUAGAAAGGAUUUUUUUUUUUUGUCUUUUUUAG